AAGUCGUAACAAGGUCUCCUUCCGUCGGUGACGCCCAGGAAGCCUUAGCCGCCUGAAAAGGUCCAUUCCGCGACUGCUGCGCACAAUGGAAUGUUAAAGGCUAGUUGACGAUCCUCGUCGGCGACAUCAUCAAAUUGCGGGAAGCUCCUAAAGCUCCAACUACCAAGCGUCCCGGAGAAAUUCGGGCGUGGCCAGGGUAAUGACCUCGGGUAUGGUAACAACGUUGGAGAUGAAUCCUCCCCGGAGGUGGAAAUGGAUAAUCCGCAGCCAAGUCCUAAUCCUGCUCGGCAGGGAUGGAUACUGUUCACAGACUAAAUGGUGAUGGGUGUACAGAAAGUACGCUUAAGAUAUAGUCGGACUGCCAGGGAAACCUGGGAGGUAGUCAUCAGAUUAGUCAUUCCGUAGGUGAACCUGCGGAAGGAUCAUUAAUGAGUUAGGGUCUUCCAGGCCCGACCUCCCAACCCUUUGUUUACAGAACCUCUGUUGCUUCGGCGGACCCGUCUCACGACCGCCGGAGGACCGCCGAGAGGCGUCCUCUGGUCAGUGUCCGUCGAUAGCCCAAACUGAAACCCUGAAUGAAUCGUGUCGUAUGUCUAAGUCUAAGAUUAAAUAAAGCAAAACUUUCAACAACGGAUCUCUUGNUNCUGGCAUCGAUGAAGAACGCAGCGAAAUGCGAUAAGUAAUGCGAAUUGCAGAAUUCCAGUGAGUCAUCGAAUCUUUGAACGCACAUUGCGCCCUUUGGUAUUCGAAGGGCAUGCCUGUCGAGCGUCAUUAUCACCCCUCAAGCCCUGUGCUUGUGUNGAUGGNNNGCGCGAGUGACUCCUCCCAAAGACAAUGACGGCGGCCUGUGGUUCCCCCGGUACACUGAGCUUUUCACCGAGCACGUGUCGGAUAAGGGCGCCCGGGACACGGUCCUCUCCUCUCACGAGGAAAUUUUAUCAAGGUUGACCUCGGAUCAGGUAGGAAUACGCGCUGAACUUAAGCAUAUCAAUAAGCGCAGGAAAAGAAACCAACAGGGAUUGCCUCAGUAACGGCGAGUGAAGCGGCAAUAGCUCAAAUUUGAAAUCUGGCCUCUUGAGGUCCGAGUUGUAAUUUGUAGAGGAUGUUUUGGGUACCGCUCCGGUUUAAAUUUCUUGGAACAGAAUGUCAGAGAGGGUGAGAAUCCCGUCUUGGACCGGCGUAGGGCCUGUGUAAAACUCCUUCGACGAGUCGAGUUGUUUGGGAAUGCAGCUCAAAAUGGGUGGUAAAUUUCAUCUAAAGCUAAAUAUUGGCCAGAGACCGAUAGCGCACAAGUAGAGUGAUCGAAAGAUGAAAAGCACUUUGAAAAGAGAGUUAAACAGUAUGUGAAAUUGUUGAAAGGGAAGCGCUGGCGACCAGACUUGAGCGCGACGGUUCCCCCAGCCUUUUGGCUGGGCUACUCCGUCGUGUCCAGGCCAACAUCGGUUCGGAGGGUCGGUUAAAGGCUCUGGGAAUGUACCUACUCACGGGUAGACUUAUAGACCAGGGUGUCAUGCGACCUCUCGGGACCGAGGAACGCGCUUCGGCUCGGAUGUUGGCGUAAUGGUUGUCAGCGACC
rnacentral:rRNA from 1 species